GACGAACGCUGGCGGCGUGCCUAAUACAUGCAAGUCGAACGCAUUUUCUUUCACCGUAGCUUGCUACACCGAAAGAAACUGGGUGGCGAACGGGGGAGUAACACGUGUGUCACCUGCCCAUCAGCGGGGGAUAACACUCGGAAACAGGUUCUAAUACCGCAUAAUUCCAUUUACCGCAUGGUAGAUCGAUGAAAGGCGCUUUUGCGUCACUGUUGGAUGGACCCGCGGUGCAUUAGCUAGUUGGAGGGGUAACGGCCUACCAAGGCUGCGAUGCAUAGCCGACCUGCGUGGGUGGUCAGCCGCCCUGGGACUGAGACACGCCACAGACUGCUACGGGAGGCGGCAGUAGGGAAACUUCAGCAAGGGACGCAAGUCUGACCGAGAAGCGCCGCGUGAGUGAAGAAGGUUGUCGGAUCGUAAAACUCUGUUGUUAGAAAAGAAAAAGGAUGAGAGUGGAAAGUUCAGCCCUUGACGGUAUCUAACCAGAAAGCCACGGCUAACUACGUG
rnacentral:rRNA from 1 species